GUAGGUGAACCUGCGGAAGGAUCAUUACCGAACCGUCGACACGAGUUGUUGCUGGUCCUCAAACGGGGGCAUGUGCACGCUCUGUUUACUCAUCCACUCACACCUGUGCACCCACUGUAGUUCUGUGGCUUGGGGGGCUCUGUCCUCUUUGCUGUGGUUCUAUGUCUUUACACACACACUGUAAUAAAGUUUCAUGGAAUGCAUGACGCGUCUAACGCAAUACAAUACAACUUUCAGCAACGGAUCUCUU
rnacentral:misc_RNA from 1 species